CUCAGCUUUUUGCCCUUCUGUGAGUAUCUUUCACCUUCUGAGAGGGGAAUGGUGCUCUCAUCGCUCCCCAGGAACACUGCUCUAAUCCACUGGGUCUUCCACACAAGUACUUCCCAUCCCGUAGGAGCCUACAGUAUCAGUUAGACGGCUUAAGUAUUCCGUUUGACCAAAAUUCAGAAUAUCAUAAGUAACUAGCAUAGAUUUAUGACAAUUCUAAACAAAAUGAUUGCUUCCUUUCUGAAACUAAGCUACAACAGUAUUUCCUUCAUUCAAGCAAUGUGUUUUCUCCAUAGAAAAACAAAAAAACUGGGUGCCUGAUGGUAAAGAAGGGAAAACGUGAUCCUUGGAUAUUAAGGAGAGAUGACUAAACUAAGGCCCGAGGAGGCAAAGUGACUUGCACAUGAUCAUAAUGGCAGAGCCAAGAUUGGAAAUCAGGUCAUGGAAAUCUCAAAGCAAUUUUCUUUAUUCUACAUUAUACUGCAUAAAAUCAAACCUAAAAUGUAGUGGUAUGCUUUGAUGCUCUAAAAGAGAACUCUGCGGUGAGCUCUCAUGGAGCAAAAGACAUCUGGGACCAGUGCAACUCAAGGCAUCUUUACUGGCAAAAUCUGAAUGGAUGAGACUUGUUUCCUUGCCAAGGCAUACAACAUAUACACAACUCUUUGUGACCUCUAAAUGGACAAUUAUUGGGUAAUCAUCAUCUACCUGCCUGUAGUUGACUAUGCAGGAGGCUGUGCUAAAGAAAGUUCACUUCUCAACAUGUUAACAACAGAUUCAGAACACCGGAGAACUAAUUCAUUUCUGAAGCACAGUAUCCUCUUCUCCUGAUAAAGCGCAUUUUCAAAAGUUACAUCAUUCUACAGAAAAAUCCAACGUCAUGAUUAAAG
rnacentral:lncRNA from 1 species